UUUUUGUAAGGUCUGUUGAUAAAGGAAAAGCGCAUCAUUUGUAUUAUCUCUCUCCUCCUCACACGGUCACUGACCUCAUUGCUGCUUCCCUCUCUGCUUAGCAUCUCCUUCUCUCUCCCUACCAUGCAUCUCCUCCUCCCUUCGAGGUCCAGUGGCGAUUGUUCUUGUUGUGACGGCGGAGCGGGUGGUGAAGGUGGUGCUUGUGACACUUCAAAAUCUUGCCUAGGGUUUCGAAUUUGGGGUUUUUAUUGAUGCCAUGAGGACACCAACAGCUACGAUGAACCUCAGCAACAUGCUAACUAAAAAUAUAUACGGAGUAUGUUCGUCUUGGAGAUUUUCGGUACUCUCCAAAUAGUAGUAUGGCCAGGAGGUGCUCACUAGAGGAAGCACCUGAAACAAGUUAAUUAGACAUAUUUAUGAUUUUAUCCAAGGAUUAGUAAGCACGCGCUGUGAUUGAAGUCUGACAUACCUGAACAACAUCAGCUGCAGCAUAACCAGCAGCCUGACCUCCCAUGAAGUGAAGGCCAUUCCCAAAACCACAGAGUAACCCUGUAAGUAAGGCCCAUCCGCUUCCUUUCGAGUCUGCUAGGUAGGCCUUAAACGAUGACUUUGGCAAGUUCGAAAUAGGGUGGUAUAGGAACAUGAUGCUCCUAUUUAACACCUACAAGUGAUUGAAUUGCUUUCAACCGAUAGAUAACUAAUGUAUACAACAUAAGAACUAAAGAAGGCCCUAAAUCCCUACAUGAUGCUACUAUGUUAGUCAAAUUUGCUACUGGUCAAUUCCGGAAUCUCGUUGCAGUUGAUGAAGUGGAGAAAAUGUAUGGCAUUAUUCGUGAUAACUUGAAGAGGGAGUUGUCAUCAUUAAUUUCCUUGUGUAUCCAGGUUUUCAAAACUCCAAGGGAGAGGCCCUUUACCAAAGAGCAGUUGGAUGAAGUUCGAGACAAGUGGGCUAUUUACUUCAACGAUUGUGAACUACCCUCAGUGUAAUAAAUAGAGCAGGCUUGUAGUUAUUCGUGACUCUUACAUUAUUUUGUUAUUUAUCGAUUUAAUUAAUAACAUUUGAAUUAAUUCGGUAAUAUUAUUGAAAAUUUGAAAUUUAUAUCA